CGGGCAGUAGCUCAGUGGUAGAGCCCUCGCUUCAUAGGCGGGAAGACCUGGGUUCCAUUCCCGGCUGCUUCG
rfam:Toxocara canis scaffold429, whole genome shotgun sequence.